AGCAGCCGCGGUAAUUCCAGCUCCAAUAGCGUAUAUUAAAGUUGUUGCAGUUAAAAAGCUCGUAGUUGAAUUUCGGGGUCAGUAGGUUGGUCAUGCCACUGGUAUGUACUGGUCUCACUGAUUCCUCCUUCCUGAUGAGCCGUAAUGCCAUUAAUUUGGUGUUGCGAGGAAUCUGGACUGUUACUUUGAAAAAAUUAGAGUGUUUAAAGCAGGCUAACGCUUGAAUACAUUAGCAUGGAAUAAUGAAAUAGGACGUUCGAUCUUAUUUUGUUGGUUUCUAGGAUUGACGUAAUGAUUAAUAGGGAUAGUUGGGGGCAUUAGUAUUCAAUUGUCAGAGGUGAAAUUCUUGGAUUUAUUGAAGACUAACUACUGCGAAAGCAUUUGCCAAGGAUAUUUUCAUUAAUCAAGAACGAAAGUUAGGGGAUCGAAGACGAUCAGAUACCGUCGUAGUCUUAACCAUAAACUAUGCCGACUAGGGAUCGGAUGAUGUUAAUUUUUAAUGACUCAUUC
rnacentral:rRNA from 1 species